UCUACUCUCUCUCUCACUCUUUCUACUCUCUCUCUCUCUCUCUUUCACUUUCACUGCCUUUCAGACUGACUGUUCCGCGGCAAUUCGUCUUCUGUAGCCAGAAAGGAACCAUGUCGUCCUCCCAUGUUUUGAUAUGGGAAAGCAAGUUCAUUCAGCCACGUGUCAAAUCAGCAUUCAGAAGAGAUCAGAUAAAAACCCCAGGAAAGUUGGAGUUCGAGAAACUGAAAUUGAAUGAAUUUGAGUGAUUGAAAUGCAUUGCAUCUUGUUCUACCUAUCAAGCUGUUAAGGCAACCAAGAGGGACCACGUGUUAUCAUAUAUGCAUGUUACAACAGUAAAGCACCAAUGUAAUGUCAAACAUAUUGUUCUACCUUAUACAGACGGGAGUAUUUUUUAAGCCCCUCGUAGAAGUAUGUUAUUCACAUGAUUGUCAUUGACAGUUUUCAUCAUUACUAAGCCUUCCAUGUCAUAUUCUGUUAUUUAUUGCCGCAAUACCCGGUUACGUCAAUGACAUAAUAAAACAAACAGUGUCAGAUGUGAUCAGUGUUUCCAGGGAAGAUAGCACACACAGUGUAACUCAGUGGCCCUGACAUCCUACAGCAGUAGCCUCAACACCCGGGGAGUACAAUCCAUUGACGGAGGGCUGAGUCAUCUGGACGUACCGCUGCCUCUAGGUGGACAGGGCCCCAGGGGCCAAACCCGGGAUCAUUAAACUCAUCCCCAAUAUCUCCUGUUGUGUGCAACAAGAUAACCGCUGACCAGAGGUUUCCGAUCCUGACCAUUCUUUGUGCUUUCACAUUGUACUGGGAAUAGUAGGCCAUUGGAACCGUGGCACAGCGCACAGCCAAUUAUGUCUGUACCAAGAGCUUGUACUCUUUUUUUUUGCUGUGUUUAUAUUGGUGUCAGAGAGUAAGAAAGGCACUGAUUAUACAAUAAUAAUAUACUGUGUUUUUUUCCACUGAUGUCUUCAGUGUGCAGGGGUAUUUUGACAAUGGGCAACUAAUUAAACGUGGAAUAAUAAAUCACUUUGUGCUCUGGAGCACUGUUUUAAUUGUAUUGCUAUAUCUCUUUGUAAAAAAAUAAGAAGAAAAGAAAUAGAACUCAGCAAAGAGUUUGUCACAAAAACUAGAAGGCCCCGAAUCACAGUUACAGGCUAGAUGCUAAAUAGGCUGAUGACUGUAAAAAUGACGCAUACGCACCAACAGUAUUUUUUUGUGUCUUUCUUAUUCAUCAGACAAAUGUAAAAUGCCAAGG
rnacentral:lncRNA from 1 species